AUGGGAUUUGGGGGAACCCACAUCAGAAGCUCAGGCACCCUGUUCCCAGAACAGCCCUCCCAAGGUCACGGGGAGACCUUGAGAUAUAGGAGGAGAGCAGCUGGGGUCCAGGGCCCAAACUCAUGGCCUGUGUGACCAGAGGCCAGGCUGUGCCCUGGUUGGCACAGAAACAGCUGCUGACCCUCUGCCUUGACCUACCCCAGGUGGCAGAGGAGCCUGUCUGGGGUCCUGUGGGGUCUGAAGUCCAAGAGCCCUUCCCAAAGGUUUGGAUCACACAAGGCCACCAAGGCUUCUGUGAGAUCUGUGGGGACAGGAGGCCCCCUCUCCAAUGUCACCUACCAGGAUCCAGGAGGCUGGGGCUGCACGGAACCCUGGGACACUGUGACAGAGAGGGGCUGGCAUGUGGCCAGUGUCUGACGAGCGAGCUUGGCACUCCCCACAUGGCCUGAGUACAGCUCAGCUUGGGCCACCCCCUCCAUGGUCCUCUGGUAUCUCAGAGAGCACUGGAGACCCUCAGGACACAGAGCUAAAGUUGCCAGAAGCCAGGCUGUCCCUGGUCCCAUGGGACCACUUGGGUACCAGCCUUAAGACUUCUGGUCUGGUCAGCAAUAUGCUGCAACAGCCACC
rnacentral:lncRNA from 1 species